rnacentral:tRNA from 1 species
GGCUCGUUGGUCUAGGGGUAUGAUUCUUGCAUUGGGUGUGAGAGGUCCUGGGUUUAAAUCCUGGACGAGCCC